AUUGAACGCUGGCGGCAGGCCUAACACAUGCAAGUCGAACGAGUGGCGGACGGGGGAGUUAUGUCUGGGAAAGUGCAUGAGGGAGGGGGAUCAACACUGAAAACGGUAGCUUACACCGCAAAGCACCGGUAGCACCCAGAUGGGUGUAGCUAGUAGGUGGGGUAAAGGCACACCUAGGCGACGCCCCCGAGCUGGUCUGAGAGGAUGACCAGCCACACUGGAACUGAGACACGGUCCAGACUCCUACGGGAGGCAGCAGUGGGGAAUAUGGCACAAUGGGCGCAAGCCUGAUGCAGCCAUGCCGCGGGUAUGAAGAAGGCCUUCGGGUUGUAAAGUACUUUCAGCGGGGAGGCGUUACCCGCAGAAGAAGCACCGGCUAACUCCGUGCCAGCAGCCGCGGUAAUAC
rnacentral:rRNA from 1 species